UCAAGAAACUUCCACAAUGGGCGAAAGCCUGAUGGAGCGACGUCGCGUGAUGGACGAAGUGCUUCGGCACGUAAACAUCUUUUAUGUGGGAUGAAAUUAUUGACAGUACCACAUGAAUAAGGGGCUCCUAACUCUGUGCCAGCAGGAGCGGUAAUACAGAGGCCCCAAGCGUUAUCCGGAAUCACUGGGCGUAAAGGGUGUCGAGGCGGUUGUAUUAGUCGUUCGUAAAAUCUACGAGCUUAACUUGUAGGCGACGAACGAAACGGUACGACUUGAGGUUUGGAGAGGUGCGUGGAACUCACGGUGUAGGGGUGAAAUCCGUUGAUAUCGUGGGGAACACCAAAGGCGAAGGCAGCGCACUGGCCAAAAUCUGACGCUCACACACGAAAGCUAGGGUAGCGAAGAGGAUUAGAUACCCAUGUAGUCCCUGAGCGGGCUGGCAAGGCGCAU
rnacentral:rRNA from 1 species